rnacentral:sRNA from 1 species
UGAAAUAUCGUUUUGGUCCAAACGGCCUU